rnacentral:rRNA from 1 species
CCCUUUUCCCGUGCAUAUGCAUCGGACUCGGAUGACGAUGGUCCCGAUGAAGAAGUUGAUGAGGAGGGGUUCACGCCGAAGGAGGCCCAAGCAUUCAAGAAGGUAUUCGGGAAGGAUCACAACACAUCAUUGUUCAAGGAUCUUAGUCUCGCGGAUGAAGCCGUUGUGGAUGGUGGCAAAUGCAUAUCUCUUGGAGCUAGGCCAAGUUCUCACCAUGAUUUGGAAGACGGCAAGAACGGGAUAUAUCCCGGUUGUGAGUUUGAAUCCUUCUUGGAAUUGAAGAUGUGUGUGACGCCUGGAUAA